GGAUAUGGCUCAGUUGGUAGAGUGCUUGCCUUGUAUGCAUAAGGCCCUGGGUUCGAUUCCCAGCACCA
rnacentral:tRNA from 1 species